rnacentral:rRNA from 1 species
CCUACGGGGGGCAGCAGUGGGGAAUAUUGGACAAUGGGGGCAACCCUGAUCCAGCCAUGCCGCGUGUGUGAAGAAGGCCCUCGGGUUGUAAAGCACUUUCAGUGAGGAAGAACGCCUGGUGGUUAAUACCCAUCAGGAAAGACAUCACUCACAGAAGAAGCACCGGCUAACUCCGUGCCAGCAGCCGCGGUAAUACGGAGGGUGCGAGCGUUAAUCGGAAUUACUGGGCGUAAAGCGCGCGUAGGUGGCUUGAUAAGCCGGUUGUGAAAGCCCCGGGCUCAACCUGGGAACGGCAUCCGGAACUGUCAAGCUAGAGUGCAGGAGAGGAAGGUAGAAUUCCCGGUGUAGCGGUGAAAUGCGUAGAGAUCGGGAGGAAUACCAGUGGCGAAGGCGGCCUUCUGGACUGACACUGACACUGAGGUGCGAAAGCGUGGGUAGCAAACAGGAUUAGAUACCCCGGUAGUCC